rnacentral:tRNA from 3 species
AGAGAGUGGCGGUCAACGGAGACCAACCAGCCUUGAAAACUGGUGCUGCUGGAAACGGUACGGGUUCAACUCCUGCACUCUCUGCCA